UAAAAAGUAAAUAAAAGUAAAAUGUAAAAAAAAAAAAAAAUACAAGCCGCUGGUUCAGAAAGGAAGACAAACGAAGAGAAUGAAAAAAAAAGUAUCACUGUUCAAAGGCAACGAAUCAAAACUGCAUCAAGGUCAAAUCACACUAACCAAAAAAAAAAAAAAUACAAGCCGCUGUUUCAGAAAGGAAGACAAACGAAGAGAAUGAAAAAGAAAAGCAUCAUCGGCAAUUCCAAAAAAGAGUUCGACGGCAACGAAUCAAAACGGCAUCAAGGUCAAAUCACACUAACCCCCAAAAAAAAAAAAAAAUACAAGCCGCUGGUUCAGAAAGGAAGACAAACGAAGCAAAUGAGAAAAAAAGUAUCACUGUUCAACGGCAACGAAUCAAAACGGCAUCAAGGUCAAAUCACACUAACCAAAAAAAAAAAAAAUACAACCUGCCAGUUCAGAAAGGAAGACAAACGAAGAGAAUGAGAAAAAAAGUAUCACUGUUCAACGGCAACGAAUCAAAACUGCAUCAAGGUCAAAUCACACUGACAGACAAAAAAAAAAAAAAAAUACAAGCCACCAGUUCAGAAAGGAAGAUGAACGAAAUAAAUAAAUAAAAAUAUAUCAUUGUAAGUUCCCAAAAAGAGUUCAACGGCGACAAAUCAAAACUGCAUCAAGGUCAAAUCACACUGACAAAAAAAAAAAAAUUCAAGCCGCCACAAAAAGGAGGAUGAACGAAAUAAAUAAAUAAAAAUAUAUCUGUAAAUUCCCAAAAAGAGUUCGACGGCAACGAAUCAAAACUGCAUCAAAGUCAAAUCACACUGACAAAAAAAAUAAAAAAAUAAAAAAUAAAAAAAUCAAGCCGCCAGUUCAGAAAGGAAGAUGAACAAAAUAAAUAAAAUAAAAAAUAUAUCAUCGUAAAUUCCCAAAAGAGUUCAACGGCGACAAAUCAAAACAGCAUCAAAGUCUAAUCACGCUAACAAAAACGUACUCAAAACAAAGCAGUGUGUGUUAUGAUCAAAGCGAGAUAUUUCCAGCAACUACGAAAGCCCCAAAGUCUUCUCCACAAGUGCCUAAACGUGAAGAUCUAAAAGCGAAUGCAAGACCCAGUUCCUUUCUUUACUGUCGCCAGAAGUCGCAGAAUAAGGAAAGGAUGUAACAUACGCCGAGUAAUAGAAUGACGGACUGACGGGUGUGUUUGUGUGGUGGGUAAUUGGUGAGGAAGCAAAAGGUGGAUGUGGGAAUAAAUAAGGAAAGUAAAAACAGUCAAUACAGGUUAGAAAUAAGAAAAGAUUGAUACGUAAAAGAAAGAAGGAAGGCCGAAGAUACAAAAUUUGACUCCUUACGUAUCCAGUAAGUCAUGAGUAUAGUCGUGAGUACGUAAAAGAAGAAAAACAAAUAACCAAGAAAGAUAUGAAUGAAUAACAAGAGGAAGAAGAUAAGCGAAUUUAUAGGAAUGAGAGAACGAAGAAGGGAGGUACAAAAAGUGGAUACAGAAGGAAAUGAAGAAAAAGAUGGAUGCAGGAAUAAAUAAGGAAGGUAAAAACAGAUGAUACAGAUUAUAAAUAAGAAAACGAUGGAUACACAUAAGAAAGAAGGAAGGAAAAAUAUUAGAUACAGAAGGAAAUGAAGAAAAAGAUGAAUGCAGGAAUAAAUAAGGAAGGAAAAAUAUUAGAUACAGAAGGAAAUGAAGGAAAAGAUGAAUGCAGGAAUAAAUAAGGAAGGUAAAAACAGUUGAUACAUACAAGGAAGAAGGAAGGAAAAAUAUCAGAUACAGAAGGAAAUAAGAAAACAAAGAAGGCAGUGGAAAUAAUUGAUACAGAUGGAAAUUAAGAAACAGUGAACAUAGUAAAGAAAAAAAGAUGGAAAUAAAGAAGAAGACCAAUAAAGAAAACAAUUAAAGACUAGCAAAUGGAAAGAGUAUAAAUGUGAAUGAAGGGAUGAAAAAUAUUAAGGAGAAUUGAUGAGGGGAAACACACGCCAUCGAAGAGAAGAAUCAUAUCAGGUUGAACAUUUGUGAGUGAUGUCUUGAGUUUUUACGUAUUGAGAGAAGCUGAGGAAGUGAAGCGUUACGUAAUGAAGAAAAACAGAAGAUGAAUUGAUGAGGAAAACACACACCAUUGAAGAGAAGAAUCAUAUCAGGAAGAUCAUUUGUGAGUGAUGUCUUGAGUUCUUACGUAUUGAGAGAAGCAGAGGAAGUGAAGCGUUACGUAAUGAAGAAAAACGGAAGAUGAAUUGAUGAGGAAAACACACCAUUGAAGAGAAGAAUCAUAUCAGGUUGAACAUUUGUGAGUGACGUUUGACUUUGUACGUAUUGAGAGAAGCGGAGGAAGUGAAGCAUUACGUAAUGAAGAAAAACAGAAGAAUUGACAAGGAAAAACACGGACACUAGCAAACAGAAGGAUCAGAUCAGGUUGGACUCUAGUAAUUGGUGUUAGAUCUCUUACAUAUUGAGGGAAGUUUAAGAAGUGAAGUGUUACGUAUUGACAAACAAGAUGAAUUGAUGAGGAAGCGCGGACACGAGCAAACAUAAGGAUCAGAUCAGGUUGAGCUCUAGUAACUGACAUUUGAUCUCGCAUGUAUUGAGAAAAGUGGAAGGAGUGAGGCGUUAUAUAACAAGAGUAACGGAGAGAGUAGUGAAGUGUUUCCAGAGCAGUUGAAAGAAUGAAGCGUAGUGACUAAAAAAUAAACAGGUGAAGGAACAAUGCACCAAAAACCUAAAUAUAAAAACUUCACUCCCCCCAAAAAAAAUAUAUAAGGUCAUUCGCUACUGACCUUACUGUGGACGGUUGACCUGACCUGACCUCCCCAACCUGUGUACUUACCCCUCACGUUGUUAGGACUAGGGGGGAGGCAUUUUGCGUGACGUUAUAUAUGCCGUACUUCUGAUUUCUCCCCCGUUUUAUAUCUGCAUACAUUAAGAAUAUAUAUAUAUACAUUAUCUUAUACAUAACUACGUGCGUAUACAUAUAUAUAUAAUAGGUAUACAGGGAGUCCUUGAGUCGCAACGGGGCUCGGGACUGACAGGGUGGUUGUUAAGUCACAUAUGUUGUAACUCGAGGAUUUCCUUUACAUAUACAAAGGAAACAUUGGUGCCAACAACACAUUUACCUUUCAUUUCCACGCCAGACACUUAGCUCCUGGCUGUUACAAUUACGUCUUAAGAAAAAAAGUAAUACACAUAGCCCGAGAUUUAUUUUCGUAAUAGCGUAACGGCGACAUAGCAGACCUCAGAGCACCUUGAAAGCGUAAAUAGUCGAAUACAACCUCCACGUCUUUGCUGGGAGUGCCGUACGUUGGUGUUUGUACGUUAUUCGCACGGAGGGACGGACAGGUAGAGGGUUUGUUUCUUUGCACCUUGCGUAAUGUUGGAUGUGAGGGGCGAGCAUUUUUUACGAGUUUACUAUGCAUGUGUUUAUGUGUCCUAAGCCGUAAUUAAUAUAAGUGACUCGGAAGAUGGUGUGCGUAAGCCGGCGAGAUGGGAGAAGGUGACAUGCAGAGGAUAAGGGGAAAAUGUUUGACAGGCAGAAAUUUUACAUAACCGGACCUCAGAAUAAGUACUCGAGAACGUCAACACAAUGAAAAUAACUUAAUCAAAAUGCAAAUAAAAAAUGGCAAAAAUAUUAAAGUUAAAUUCGUUAAAAGGCAGAAACAAAAUAAUGAUAAGAAGCGGAAUGAUAAGCAGAAAUUUCAUAUAACUGGACCUCAGAAUAAGUACUCGAGAACGUCAACAGAAUGAAAAUAACUUAAUCAAAAUGCAGAAAAAAAGACGCAAAAAUAUUAAAGUUAAAUUCGUUAAAAGGCAGAAACAAAAUAAUGAUAAGAAGCGGAAUGAUAAGCAGAAAUUUCGUAUAAUCGGAAGAAUAAGUAUGCAAGGAAUAUCAACCUGAAGAAUCCAGAAAAGAAAUGAAAACGGCGAAAUCAGACUAAUGCACAAAUCUGACCAGUAAUUGACGUUUCAUAACCUAGGUCUCGGAAACAGAGCGAGAAUUAAUAAAUGCAAAGAAUAAGGGAUUGAUAUAUUGCGAGACAGACAUGUAGGGAAAAUGAUUGAUGUUUCAUAACCUAGGUCUCAGAAACAGAGCGAGAAUUAAUAAAAGCAAAGAAUAAGGGAUUGAUAUAUUGCAAGACAGACAUGUAGGGAAGAUAAUUGACGUUUCAUAACCUAGGUCUCGGAAACAGAGGGAGAAUCACUAAAAGCAAAGAAUAAGGGAUUGAUAUAUUGCAAGACAGACAUGUAGGGAAAAUGAUUGACGUUUCAUAACCUAGGUCUUGGAAACAGAGCGAGAAUUAUUAAAAGCAAAGAAUAAGGCAUUGAUAUAUUGCAAGACGGACAUGUAGGGGAAAUGAUUGACGUUUCAUAAUCUUGGUCUCGGAAACAGAGCAAGUAUUAUUAAAAGCAAAGAAUAAGGGAUUGAUAUAUUGCAAGACAGACAUGUAGGGAAGAUAAUUGACGUUUCAUAUCCAAGGUCUCGGAAACAGAGGGAGGAUCACUAAAAGCAAAGAAUAAGGGAUUGAUAUAUUGCAAGACGGACAUGUAUGGAAAUAAUUGACGUUUCAUAACCCAGGUCUCGGAAACGGAGCAAGAAUCAAGAAAAAGAUCAACCACUAAACUAUGAUCAAACACCUGCAGCAAUACAUGUGGUAAAAGUUCCUUAAUCCGUCAAUCAGAGCCACGGAUCUCGGAGUAACAGACCAUUACCACACAUACACACAUGCAGCGUACCCGGCACAUCUCGGAAGCGUCGUUUGUUCGUAUGUGUGUAUAGCGUGCCAUCAUCAUCAUUGCGUCGGAAAGCCCUUUUUUUUGUCAUUCAUUUCUUAUUUAUUGUCAUGCAUAUGUUCCAGGUUCUCGUGUUUCCAGAGUGCGCUGUGUUGCUUCGCCUCGGUAGUGUUUGGUGGGUGUGGGGUUUUGUUGUCCAGGGUGGUGUGUGUCCGUGCCAAUAUGUACGCACGGUUCCAAUUAGUACUCGUCGGGAAGAAUCGUGAGGCGGUUCUUGUUCUGGUUCUUUUCUUGUUUUUUUAUUGUUAUUCUCGUUCUUGUUUAUUUUCGUUCUCGUUUUUUAUUUUCGUUCUUGUUUUAUUCUCGUUCUUUUUUAUUCUUGUUCUUUUUAUUUUUAUUCUUGUUCUUUUUAUUUUUAUUCUCGUUCUUGUUUUUAUUUUGCGUUCUUGUUUUUAUUCUUGUUCUUGUUUUAUUCCCUUACCUUACCUUACCUUACCUUACCUUACCUUACCUUACCUUACCUUACCUUACCUUACCUUACCUUACCUUACCUUA